CCUACGGGUGGCAGCAGUCGGGAAUAUUGCGCAAUGGAGGAAACUCUGACGCAGUGACGCCGCGUGCAGGAAGAAGGUUUUCGGAUUGUAAACUGCUUUUGACAGGGAAGAAAAAAGACAUUACCUGUAGAAUAAGCCCCGGCUAACUACGUCCAAGCAGCCGCGGUAAUACGUAGGGAGCAAGGGUUAUCCGGAUGUAUUGGGUGUAAAGGGUGCGUAGACGGGGAAGCAAGUUAGUUGUGAAUUCCCUCGGCUUAACUGAGGAACUGCAACUAAACCUACUUCCCUUGAGUACUGGAGAGGUAAGUGGAAUUCCUGGUGUAGCGGUGAAAUGCGUAGAUAUUAGGAGGAACACUAGUGGCGAAGGCGACUUUCUGGACAGUAACUGACGUUGAGGCACGAAAGUGUGGGGAGCAAACAGGAUUAGAUACCCUAGUAGUC
rnacentral:rRNA from 1 species